rnacentral:rRNA from 1 species
GACGAACGCUGGCGGCGUGCCUAAUACAUGCAAGUCGAACGCAGUGGGGACGGGUGAGUAACACGUGGGUAACCUCCCAUCAGAGGGGAUAACACUUGGAAAAAGGUGCUAAACCGAUACGGAUGGCUGGACCCGCGGUGAAUUAGCUAGUUGGAGGGGUAACGGCGCACCAAGGCAACGAUGCAUAGCCGACCUUGAAGGGUGAUCGGCCACCCUGGGACUGAGACACGGCCCAGACUCCUACGGCAGGCAGCAGUAGGGAAUCUUCGGCAAUGGACGAAAGUCUGACCGAGCAACGCCGCGUGAGUGAAGAAGGUUUUCGGCUAGUAAAACUCUGUUGUUAGAGAAGCGGUAUCUAACCAGAAAGCCACGGCUAACUACGUGCCAGCAGCCGCGGUAAUAC